rnacentral:lncRNA from 1 species
UUUCAAAUUCAAUCUUUCUCACUAUAUUCUCAGGUUCCUGAUCAAAAAGGAAGCUCUCUCAAGUUUAAAGUUUGAGCUAGGACCCUUUGUAAGUGUCUUUAGCCACUUUAGUUCAGUUUUUACAUGUUUAAAGACCGAAAGUCAAAGUUGUCGUAAAAUGACUUUGACCUUCGGUUUAGACCUAAAUGGUCCAGCCAUUGUUCGAGGCGAAUAUGGCUACAUGAUCAUAAUUAGGUAGGUGUUAAUCCCUCAAAAGGGCACCUCCUAGUUAUCACGUUUGCUUAAUUAAUUGUCGGGUAAAGGUUGUUAGUCAAAAAGUCAAACUAGUCAGCUUUUUAAAUAAAAAUCAAAACUUUAUAAAUCAUAUUUUGUCACUUAAACAACUUGGUAAAUAUUAUUAGAAAAUAUUUAAACAUGUUCAACCCGAUAAUUCUGAGUUUAAGCUCGGUUCGUAGCCGAAAGUCGCAAAAGCUUGACUUUUGCUUUGACUUUCAGUUCUGACCCGAUUAAGCUUAAUUCCUUUAUGUUUUAAGCUUUCAUUGUAACCAUAUAAUGUUAUAGUAUAACCCUCUGAGAUUAUAUUACAUGGUCAGUUAGAAAUUCUGAAUUAUAUGCAUGUUUCAUUAUUAUGCUUAUUGUUGACAAUUAUGCCCUUAUGGUCUAAAAAUAGGAUUUUUGAAUAAAUGAUCAUGCAAAUGGAUUAAGUACUGAUUAGUAAACCUAAAUAAAGUAUUUUGGCAUUACAUUCUGGUCAUAAACUGAUGUUAUGCUAAUGAUCGAAAUUAGGCGUUUAUAAAGAUUAAAAUACCCUUUUGGGGUAUAAAUCAUGUUUAAAACAUAAAUGUGACUCAAAAUUCUUUACCUACUGUUAGGAUAUUAUUUUUAGGGAUUUUUGGAAAAUUGGGUCAGAUUAUAUACUGAUCUUAUCACUGAGUUUGUAUAUAAAGCUUUUAAUUGACGAUAAUGCCCUUUUUGUGAAUAAAAUGAGUUUUACAAAUAAUUAACAUGCCAACCUUUUUGCUACUGAUCUAAUAUGAAAAAUAAAAUAUUUUGACCAUCCAAGGCUGGUCAAAAUCUCGGAAUCACAUAAACUUUGCAAAUAUCGUCAAUUAUCGGUUUUUACGCUAAAUAGGUGCAUAGUAUGGUUUAAAACCAUAUUUAGCACCCAAGACUUGUUACCUACUGAAUUUAUAAAUAAUUUUUAAUAUUUUUACAGUAGGUAUAAGUCAAGAACUCAGACUUCCAAUUUUGUCCUUAAAAGCAUAUGUGAAAUGACCAAAAUACCCUUUCGGGGUAUAGUUUGGCCAUAAAUGAUAAACCACAUAUAUGUAUGAUAUCCUACUGUUAUAACAUCAUAAAAAAAUAUUUUUACAGAAUGUUUUUUACCAGAACAUCAGUUUACCUAUAAACCUCUUUUAUAAAUCCUAAAAUGACCAAAACGCCCUUAUGAGGCUUAAUUUGGUUUUCAAUACUUUUGGGCAUAUAUGUUGACAUCCUACUGAUGUCUUAACAUAUUUAAAGCAUAAUAAUAUAUGAAACUUGUAUAUGGUUUAUUUGGUUACCCGUUAUGCUUAUACGCGUUCGAUUCGGUUUAUGUAACUAGUUUACAUAAAUUAGCCGAAACGGGUUAAACCUUGUCAUUUAAACUUUAAAAUCCAGAAUGUGUUUAGUGUACCAUAUUAUACAAGUAUUCAUACUUGUUGCGUCUAAAUUACAUUCCAUUCCGGUCUCCGCUUAAUCUAGCGUUUCGAACCGUAAAGUAUACUUAAAACUAACCGGUCUAAGUCUUUGACUUAAAUAAGACCCGUUAGUAUCCUAAUAGGUUAAUAAAACCUUCCUUACAGAUUAAGUAUCCCCGGUAGAAGAUACUUGCCUAAAGUCUUAGAAAAUAUACGGCUGAGUAGCAUUUCUGCAUAAUUAACUCAGGUAAAUACUUUUAACAUAUUUUCCCUAUACGGGCUUGGGAUACGGUAAAUUAUUACCGCUUGGUCGGGUAUGCGAUUAUUCAGUACCUCUCGAAACUAGGCUGGAGCUACUUGGUGUCAAUUAAGAGGAUCUUGCAAAUCCUUAGAUGCCUGAAGUCUGUUAAACUCAGUUUUAUGUAUUUGUUUUAUGGUCCGCCUGGAUCUCUAUUACAAUCCGUUUGUAUAUUCUUUUGUUUUGAACAUUGGACAUUAUGGGUUGUAAUAGUAAUUAACUUCCAAGCCUUCCGUUGUGCUAUAAUUGUGUUUAAUUGACUAUGAUGAUAUAAACUACGUC